AGGCAAGGGGCCCCCGUUCCCGACGACUGAGAUUUGUAUUUAAACAAAAUUAAUUCUUUGAAGACAGUCAUGUUGGGAUCGUCAUCGGGAACGGAAGAAAGACGAACGAGCGUACGAUGUUGACCUUGUGUGCAGUUGUGGCCGGCUUACAUUGGUGUGGGGUAUCUUGCAACAAGAGAUACGCACCGACGUUCAACAUGGCCGCGACAGUGGACGAGGUGGCGGCUCUUCGACGAAAACUAGAGGAAACACUGGCCACUCUCGAGGUUGUGAAAGGCGCCAACGACCAGUUCCGAUAGAAGGAGGAGACCGCUCGCCCAAGAAGAAUAUGGUAUUACAGAGUAUGGUUCCCACGUGGUCGGGAAGUCCGUCAGACGUCUGUAGAAAAAUUCCUCCGAUGUGUGGAUGACGUCGCAAAGAGCGGAAAUUGGGAAGAAAAGGACAGACUUGUAGUCGGUCGGAUCCGACUGAAGGGAGCUUCAGCGGCCGGCGGGAACUGACGGGGCCGGAGUACUUCUAUAAACGAGUUCUGUUGGAACGAUUUAAGGAGGCGUCCAAACCGGAACAAUAUCUGCUGCAGCUGCACUCCCAAAGACGGGAGAGAGGGGAGACGCGCGAGCAUUCGCUUUUUGGUGCAGAAUUCUUGGGGAGAUGACCCUGACUCACAAAGGAUAUCGAACGGAUAUAUAUCAAAUCGAUAGGACUUCUGCCCGAUUUUGGCGUGUGUCGACCCGGGAUUGAGCGGGUCCAGACUUUGCCGACGGAAAUAAGGGGGCAGUAAAGGAGGUACAGGGCCUAGUGCCAAACGGACACACCCUCAAGAUCAUCUUCGACCCGCCCUUACUGGACGGAGGCCGAGAGAUCUACCUCUAGUGGGUUCGAUCCAUCCCAAUAGGCGUUCCAGGGACGGCGCUGCGGAUUGUAGCCCGAUUGGAGGCCGACGACUUGCUGGUCAGCACAGAUAGGGAGUUCUACGCCCUCCUAGCGGACGCGGACGUUCGGUCGUGCCAAAAAGGGGAGAAGUGGAUUUGUCCAGCAUCAUCAGACGUCAAUGAAAUGUACCUUCCUGCGCCAGCGCCCUCUACUACAACGAUGUGGAAGACAGUAAGCGGCUGUGCGAUGAUUGGGCCGUGUUCACCACCCCACACAGGCCGGUCUGGUGGCCGGGACCCUGGAGGACACCUGGACCUACAGCGUCUCCAGCCCCACGCGAAUUUUAAUAUGAUUGUGUAGGUUGAUUUUCAAUACGGUAUUUGAAUAAAAAUUGGUUGAAUGUGAUGA